UGGGGAAUAUUGGACAAUGGGCGCAAGCCUGAUCCAGCCAUGCCGCGUGAGUGAUGAAGGCCCUAGGGUUGUAAAGCUCUUUCACCGGUGAAGAUAAUGACGGUAACCGGAGAAGAAGCCCCGGCUAACUUCGUGCCAGCAGCCGCGGUAAUACGAAGGGGGCUAGCGUUGUUCGGAUUUACUGGGCGUAAAGCGCACGUAGGCGGACUUUUAAGUCAGGGGUGAAAUCCCGGGGCUCAACCCCGGAACUGCCUUUGAUACUGGAAGUCUUGAGUAUGGUAGAGGUGAGUGGAAUUCCGAGUGUAGAGGUGAAAUUCGUAGAUAUUCGGUGGAACACCAGUGGCGAAGGCGGCUCACUGGACCAUUACUGACGCUGAGGUGCGAAAGCGUGGGGAGCAAACAGG
rnacentral:rRNA from 2 species